rnacentral:rRNA from 1 species
GAUGAACGCUAGCUACAGGCUUAACACAUGCAAGUCGAGGGGAAACGAUAUUGGAAGCUUGCUUCCGAUAGGCGUCGACCGGCGCACGGGUGAGUAACGCGUAUCCAACCUGCCCACCACUUGGGGAUAACCUUGCGAAAGUAAGACUAAUACCCAAUGACGUCCAUAGAAGACAUCUGAAAUGGAUUAAAGAUUUAUCGGUGAUGGAUGGGGAUGCGUCUGAUUAGCUUGUUGGCGAGGUAACGGCCCACCAAGGCGACGAUCAGUAGGGGUUCUGAGAGGAAGGUCCCCCACAUUGGAACUGAGACACGGUCCAAACUCCUACGGGAGGCAGCAGUGAGGAAUAUUGGUCAAUGGGCGAGAGCCUGAACCAGCCAAGUAGCGUGCAGGAUGACGGCCCUAUGGGUUGUAAACUGCUUUUAUAAGGGAAUAAAGUGAGCCUCGUGAGGCUUUUUGCAUGUACCUUAUGAAUAAGGACCGGCUAAUUCCGUGCCAGCAGCCGCCAUAA